rnacentral:rRNA from 1 species
AAAUUUAAAGUCUUGCCUGCCCACUGAAAAUUUUAAAUGGCUGCGGUAUUUUGACCGUACUAAGGUAGCAUAAUCAUUAGUUUUUUAAUUAAAAGCUGGAAUGAAGGGUUGGAUGAAAAAAGGAACUGUCUCUAUUUGAUUUUAUAAGAAUUUUAUUUUUAAGUUAAAAAGCUUAAAUUUUAUUGAAAGACGAGAAGACCCUAUAGAGUUUAAUAUAUUUAAUUAAUAUAUUUUUUUUUUAGAAUUUAAUUUAUUUAUAUAGUAAAUAUAUUUAAUUGGGGUGAUUAAAAAAUUUAGUUAACUUUUUUUGUAUUUUUAUAUAGAUUAAUAAGUUAUUGAUCCAAUAUUUUUGAUUAUAAGAUUAAAUUACCUUAGGGAUAACAGCGUAAUUUUAUUGGAGAGUUCAAAUUGAUAAUAAAGAUUGCGACCUCGAUGUUGGAUUAAAAUUUAUAAUUGGUGUAGAAGCUAAAUUAUUAAGUCUGUUCGACU